AUACUACUCCCUCCGUUCUAAAUUACUUGUCUUAGAUUUGUCUAGAUACGGAUAUAUCUAGCACUAAAAUAAGUCUAGAUAGAUCCGUAUCUAGACAAAUCCAAGACAAGUAAUUUAGGACGGAAGGAGUAGAAG
rnacentral:pre_miRNA from 1 species